AGAAUAAUCAAGAUCAUCCUUCCUUUAUCUCAUCAGUUCCAGCCUCGGUUUCUGAUUCACUUUGCUUUGAUUCAUCUGUUACUUCCUUAGUUUCAGUCUCAGGUACAGGCGCUAUUGCCGGAUCAGCAGUCUCUGCAGAGGUAGGAGAUUUAUCAUUCCUUUCCAGAAAAAUCUCAAGCUGCAAAUUAAACCAAUGUCAGAAUAAUAUUAAUUGACAACUCUUUCAAGGUCUUCUUUUUAUAGAGUCCUGGAAUUUAGGGAGGGAAAACAUCUACGUCACACGUGGUGGUUCGUUAUUGGAUAUCAACAUAAAUGUUCUAUUGCAAUUCUAACGGCUGUGAUUCAAUUCCCGCCUCCCUUCUCUAUACCGUUACAUAAAUAAACUUACCCAUUUUACCUAAUCAUACAUUUUAUGUCAUCCAUCGAACAAUUAAUGGAUCAACUCUUAUCGGGCCACACCAAGGGCCUUUAGUCCUUUACCACAUCAUGUACAAUAUAAACAGUGUAUUCACAUGUGCAAGGUACAACCGUUUGUACAUAGAAAAUUGUUGUCGCGCCAAAUUAACUUUAAUAAAAUACGCUAAUUUCUAAUGUUCUUUUCUUAAUUGUGAUUUGUAGUUAUCGUAUGCGAUUUCUUUUAUUUUGUAAGUGUAUAUUUAGUAAUGCAUUAAGCCAAUGUUUACAAAUAUUUCAUACAAUAUAUAACUUUUACUUUUAA